GACGAACGCUGGCGGCGUGCUUAACACAUGCAAGUCGAGCGGUAAGGCCCUUUCGGGGGUACACGAGCGGCGAACGGGUGAGUAACACGUGGGUGACCUGCCCUCAGCUCUGGGAUAAGCCUGGGAAACUGGGUCUAAUACCGGAUAUGACUCCAUGACGCAUGUUGUGGGGUGGAAAGCCUUGUGCGGCUGAGGAUGGGCCCGCGGCCUAUCAGCUUGUUGGUGGGGUGAUGGCCUACCAAGGCGACGACGGGUAGCCGGCCUGAGAGGGCGACCGGCCACACUGGGACUGAGACACGGCCCAGACUCCUACGGGAGGCAGCAGUGGGGAAUCUUGCGCAAUGGGCGAAAGCCUGACGCAGCGACGCCGCGUGAGGGAUGACGGCCUGUGU
rnacentral:rRNA from 1 species